AGAAAGGAGACCUAGCAACAGGUGGACUUCUUCAGCUGAGAGAAGAAAAAUAGGAGACUCAGGGGUACAAAUCAAGGCACUGUUUCUUUAGGAGUACAGAAACAAAAAUUAGAUUGAAAUGAGAACAGAAUAGAUAGCAAGAAUGAACCAAACUCUGAGUUCAACUCCUGGAAGAGUAGGAUGCCCUCACAGUGGGACACAGGAUGGGUAGUGGAGAGAAUGUGUUCUUGGAGAAAGCAAGUUCAGUGGAUCACCAAUAACAAUGACAGAGCAGGCCUAGAGCCCCCAAACUGGUGGUUGAAUGUGGUCACCAAAUGGAUGAGAAUCAAUAAAUUGAAGGUUUGCAGAUCAAAUAUGAUUUUUUUUAUCCUUUGAGAAGAUAUUCACAUCCCUGACAGAUGUAUUAAAGAUAAUAAGAAAAUGUGGUGAAAUACCUGGCAGGAAGCAUAAUAAGAAUGCCUGAAAUCAUGAGGCUGAAUGUAAAAGAGAAGGAGAUGAUGGAAAUCCAAGGGCUGUGUAUUAUCUCUGCUAUUAUUUGGAAAAAUAACUGCUUGACUAGGUGUCUUGCAAUAUGGUUAUCUAUAGUAUUUGAUUCUUUAAAAAUAAAACCAACUAUUUGCAUCUGAGAAAGAAAAUAAAACAAGAUUUAUCACCAUAAGCUAAUGUAAAGCUAUCAUGGAUAAGACGCAAUUCUAAGACAGAAAUGAAUGAUUUAUUCAGAAUAAUAUUUUUAUUUAAAAUGAUACCAAUUAAAAUACCUGAUGGUACCUUGUGGGG